CGGGGAGUAGCUCAGCCCGGUAGAGCGCCACGUUUGGGACGUGGAAGUCGGAGGUUCAAGUCCUCUCUCCCCGACCA
rnacentral:tRNA from 2 species